AUGUGAGAAACGCUGCUUUAAAGAGUACGUUCUACCUGGAUUUUUCAACCUAAAAGGCACAAGCAGUAGAGAGGAAAUUCUGGUCACAGGUACACCUUCAUCCACAGCACCUAGACUCAUCCUGUCCAUUUAUAAUCCCAUCAGGAGUGUGAGAGUGCUCGUUCAGUUUUGCCAGGAGUAGGAAUGAUCCUUUUGAAAAAUUUUCCCUGAAUGAUUAUAAGUGUUGUGGAAGCUCUGAAAAUCAGCUGUCUGGGAACACCACCACCACCACUGUGACCAACAAAAAUCAAACCAGAAGUUUAGCCCCCAACAAUAUAGGAAGCAGAUUCAUGGAGCAGAUGCACUUGUUAUGAAAACAGUAAAUCAUGCGUACUGAUAAAUGAAUGAGACUUGAUAAGGACAUCGUAUCCUACUGUGUGAGAAGGUGGUGCUGUAAUGUGAAAAAUACAAUCUCAUGAAGUACGUUGUGUCCUCAAAAGGACAAGGGGAUCAAUAAAAAACACAGUUCGCAUACUCCCAGCAAAAAACCGGGUGUUAGCACUUCUGAAGGAUUUGGUUGUUUCAUGAGAUGAAAAAUGUCUACUUCGAGGCCUUAAAAUAUUGAUGCCCUAAAGAGUUCUUCCCUACUGCCACACAGCAUCCGUCUUAGAACAGAUCAUGGUGAGAGGCUCAAGAGGCCAAGGGAAUAAGUUAAGGGGAUGCUGCUUUCCACUGUGCAGGAAAUAAUUCUUCUUAAGAGGCCAUAUAUCAGUCCAGAAAAAGCUGACAAGCUUUUUAAAAAAUACAACAGAAACAAACUAAAAGCGAUUCAUUCCUGUCAUCUUCUUUACAUCUUGAACUCAAAUUAAAAAAAAAAAUUGCCAAUAAAAAUAUACAAGUCUGUGUGUCUUAUAGUAACUAGGUAUCCAUAUCUGCAUGUGUAUAAAUUCCAGUGCAAUCCCCAGAGAUCUCCUAUGACAUAAGUAAUGGUAACAUGUUUGCCUCUGGAGAGUGAAACCUGGUGCUGGGGUACCAGGGUAAGAGAUGUAGUUAUAUUUUUUUCCAUUAUGUACUGUUUGAGCUUUAAAAAAAUCAUGCAUGUUUUAAUUGUUUUUUAAAAAUUCAUGAUAACUAUGUAAAUAAAUAGAUAUAUAAAAUGUAUUGGGACACUUGGUGACAUCUGUACACAUUUUUUUGUAGUCACAAUUGGGGGAGGGCUCGUCACUGGUAGUUAGCAGAUGGAGACCAAGUCUGCUGUUAAACAGCCUACAAUGCAGAGGACAGCCCCCUACAACCAAGAAUAUCCAGCUCAAAAGGUCAACAGUGCUCCUGUUGAGGAAACUCUAAAUGAUGGACCCUUACAUACAGAACAUAAACACUCAGAGUAUGAAUUACAUAAACAACUACUACAGUGGACUCUUGGCUCCUUAUCACUCCAGACAGAGUAUAUCAUCCAAAGAGACAGGACAUGGAGUUGAUCUACAGACCCAACACCUCCCACUCUCAAGCAGUUUCCUGCCUGCUUGGGGAGAAGCAGUUUUCAUCAGUGGCUCUUGGCAGGGGAAGCAGUAACAGCAAGAUCUGGACCCUUCCUGUUGCGUCAAGCACCUUGGAGAGAUGACCAUAAGGUCCUCUCUUCAUGGGCCUGUGUGGGUGGGAGAGGGCAAUCAGGAGCUGCAUUGUUCCAAUUAUUCUUGUUUAAACAAGUCUGGUUAAAAGCCAUUCACACACUACAUCUCAAAUACAGAACUAGCAGCUGUAUUCAAACUUUGUAUUAUAAUCCGGUCGCACCAUCCAAUUGUUUAUUUGAGACGACAGGCUUCAAUUAAUUUAGGGGACAGUAUGGUGAUCAAAGGAGAAAAGUUUCUUACAAAUCAGUAUUUGCUUAGAGGGUCUUGUGUCCUUCCAAAGAUUCCUUGUCAAGGCAACACACAAAACUUCAACUAAUGAAGUACUUCCUGGCUUUUGCACUGAUGACAACAUAAAGGAAGAAUGACUCUUGCCUCCUUGAACCAUAUCAUCUAUUUAGCUUAAUUUCAACUUGUCCUGAUAUUAUGCUUUCCUUUUUUUAGUCAGUGAUAUUUUUAUCCGUGUUUAAUUUUGCAUUAUACUGUAUUAUAACAAAAUCAUAAAAUGUUUGAGCUAAAAGGGAUUUUAAAAAUCACCUAACAAAAUCCUCACAUUUUAUAGAUAAUAAAAAUAGCUACUCAGAUACACAUUUCUCUGUAGUUGGUAUUGUUCUAAGUGAUUUCCUUCUAUUAAUUCCUUUAAUCCUCAAAACCAUCUGAUGAUGUAGAUAUCACUACAGUCACUCCCAUUUUACUGAUGAGGAAAUGGAGACACAGAGAGAUUAAGUAUGCCACAUGUUCUGGCAGAAAGAAUUCUAAGAUGACCUUCAAUUAAUCAUGCCCUUGUAUAAACCUCUCUGACUGAAUGCACGCAGAAACUGUGACUUGCUUCUAGUCCACGGUAUGUGACAAUGGAGAUGGGAGGAGAGUCAUUCUCAUGGUUAUGCUAUGUUAUGUUAUGUUAUGUUAUGUUAUGUUAUGUUAUGUUAUGUUAUGUUAUGUAAGACUAUCCUGGUAGACUGGAGAGAGAGUAGACUGGAGACAGAUUCUCCCACUGGCCUUGAAGAAGCAAGCUGCCAUGUUGUGAGAGGAACUACAAGGAAACCACAAGGCAAGGAACUAUGGGGGGCUCUACUACCAGAGAGCAGCCCCUGGCUCACAGCAAGAAAGUGAGGACAUCUUUCCUACCAUCAUAAGGAACUGAGUUCUGCCAACUAUCACAUGGAAUUGAAAGAAGAUCCCAAGCUCCAGAAAGGAAUACAGUCUGAGCCAACACCCAGACUCCAGCCUUGUGAGACCAUGAUCAGAGCUAAGCGUGCCUGGAUUCCUGCCCCACACAAACUGUGAGGUAACAGAUAUAUGUAGUUUGAAGGCACUAAGUUUGUGGGAAUUUGUUAUGCAGCCAUGGAAAAAUGAUAGACAUGUCCAGGGUCACAAAGCAAAUAAAAGCAAGAGCAGAAUUCAAA